ACAAAACAAAACUAAAAAAAAAAAAAAAACCUCUCCCUCUCUGCUUUGUUGCCCCAUUUUGUUCCAAAAGUUGUUAUUUACCACAUCUUAUCAUCUAUACAUUUAUACAUAUUCCGCAUCGAGAUUGACAUGAGGAAGGAAGCGGAGAGAGAGAGAGAAAGAGAAAUGUACCGAUGAGUAGCAAAAGAAGGUGCACUUCAUGUUUUUCC
rnacentral:ribozyme from 1 species